CAGGAAAAAUCCCAAAAACAAUUUCUGCUCUGGAUCUGAGAGUAUCAGUGUUAGAGUUGCCGCAGCAGUGUGCGAGAAGAAUAUUGAAGCUCCAUAUGUACUUCAGAGCUAGCUUUGGCCUCUGGAUCAUGCACUGUCAAAGAUGCUGAAAGAAUGAAGAAAUUAAAAAUGAAUUUGGAUCAGAUAUAAGAGUAGAAUUGAAGAAAAAGUCAUCAUCUGCAACAACUUUAUAUGAAAUAAGAGAGGGCGUAACACAUGAGAGCACAGUUCUUUCGCAGACUGGUGGUAUCCCUAAUGACAGACUCGAGACUGUACCAUUCCGUCCAGAACAACUUCACCAAGUUGCAUUGCCUCCUGAUGAAUACAUUAGAGUCUACUUUGAUCUAGAGACAACUGGCUUAGAUUCAUCAUGUGAAAUAACACAAAUGCGUGCAAGGUGUGGAGAUUCUUCUUUCUGUCGGUAUGUAUUACCAUCAAUUGCCAUACAGGAGACAGCUUCAAGGAUAAGGGGACUUACAUGUGAUGAUUCAACUUUAAAAAAAAAACUGCUCUAUACUGGAGUGUUUGACAUCAUUUCAUGAAUGGCUAAAUAAUACACCGAAUAUACAUAAACCAACACUAUUUGCUCAUAACUGCAGAAAAUUCGAUAGUGUUGUUCUAGGCAGAUCAAUGAGAAAAUGCUCUGAUAUGACAUUGCAAGACUGCAUUGUUGGAUUCUGUGAUACCCUGUCUAUGUUGAAGAAUCAUGCGUCUUGUAAUACCACAAAUUCAACUCUAGCGACCCUUGUGCUGGAAAUUCUAGGCUGUACAUUCGAGGCACACGAUGUACUUGAAGACAGACUGUACAUAUCUACAGAAACUUGUGGAACAUCACAGUACAUAUUCCUAUUAUUUAAACUAUACUUUCAGUAUGGAUUAUAUGAUGCAAGUUGUACUCCAAAUGGAAGACUCUAAAUCUAACUUGCAAACUUUUAUGCCCUUGUAAACAAAAAACAGUGCCUGAGAGCAUGAUGAAAAGGAUGUCUCUCUCUGGGCUUUCAAUGCAUCAUCUACAGUUAGCGUACCAACGAGGAGGCUUUGAUGGAGUACAACGUGUACUGAAUGAAAAAAAAACCCAGAGGUAACCAAACACAGGGACAUUAACAUUUCUGUUGUUGACUUAUUGAAAGAAAGAUAACAAUUUCUCAUACAUAAUGUAAAGAUAUUUUCUUUUAUUUCAAUAAUUUUAAUACUGGAUACAGCACAUUUUAAUUUAUUUAUUUUACAUAUAUAUAUAUCUAUUGAAUGUUUUCAUGUGCAGGAAUCAAGUGUUAUCAUACUCUCCUUAAUACAAAUUAGCAAAACCUUGAAGUCACUUCUCUUUCCUUAUAUAAAUCUUUAUGGGUGAUAAUGCAUUAUCUUUGAAAGACGCAUGGAAACAUUGCAUAAAAAUGUUUGAUUUAUUAUAAUAAUCAUUAGUAUGAGACAGUAAAAUGUCAUUUGCUUUAAAAUUUACACUUUCAAUUUUGGUACCUGAGGAUCGG